rnacentral:tRNA from 1 species
GCCUCGGUGGCGUAGUGGUCAAGACGCUCGCCUGGUAAUCAGGAGGACGUGGGUUCGAUCCCAGCCGAGGUA